UGAUAAUCCAUUGUAGGUUUCAUUACCCUCUAAUAGAGUUUGUCUACUUUAUCAAAUGAGUUGUCCCUCAUUUGAUUGGCUUUUAAGUCUAAGGAGAACUUAG